CAUGUCCUUUUGAGUAUAAUUUAAGGUCUAACCUGCCCAGUGAUUAUUUAAAUGGCCGCGAUAUUUUGAUCGUGCGAAGGUAGCAUAAUCAUUAGUUUCUUAAUUGGAAGCUGGAAUGAAUGGUUGGAUGAGAAAAAUUCUGUCUCAAUAUUAAUUUAAUUAAAAUUUUAUUUCUAAGUGAAAAAGCUUAGAUAUUUAUUAAAGACGAGAAGACCCUAUAGAGUUUAAUAUUUUAAGCUUAAGUAAUAAUAAAGUAUAUAUUUAUACUUAGGUGUUAAAUUAUUAGGUUGGGGUGACUAGAAAAUUGAAUAAACUUUUUUUAAAUAAAAAUACUGAUUGGUAAAUUAUUGAUCCAUUAAUUUAUGAUUAUAAGAAUAAAUUACCUUAGGGAUAACAGCGUAAUUUUCUUUGAGAGUUCAUAUCGAAAAGAGAGAUUGCGACCUCGAUGUUGGAUUAAAAUUAAUUUUUGGUGCANAAGCUAAAAAAUUUAGUCUGUUCGACUAUUAAAAUUUUACAUGAUCUGAGU
rnacentral:rRNA from 1 species